AGGCGGAGCCUGGGUGCGCGAGGCGUCGGCAGGCGCUGCAGAGCCAACCCCGGCCAGGGCCUUCCCGCAGCUCCUUGGGCUGCCUCGGCUGCAGCCGCCGGGAACAGCAGGGCAUCCGCGCGGCUGGGCCACCCCGGCCAUCCCGGCCACCCCAGGCUUCCCGCGUGUCCAGGCCGCGCCUCCCCACCGCCCGCGGACCUGGCGACGUCACUGCGGCUCUGACGCGCGCUAAUGGAGGCACGGGCGGAGGCGGCGUGGCGCGGGCAUCCUCCCGGGAGGUCCCGGUCCUUGCAGCCCGCGGCCGCGUUCUUGGCCCUACUCCAGGGGAACCUCGAUUUUCCAAACUCGGGAAGGCCGGCUGUCCUUCGGCUACUGAUAAGGACGCAAGCGCCGGGUAAAAGAUUUUAACAAUGCCCGGAAAGAAAUAGUCGGACCCAAGAAAGAGACUAAUAAUAGCCGCCAGCUAGAGUUCUGCUCCUGUGCUCAGCGGUCUUAAGAACAAUAAUAACGACAACAACCACAAUAGCCACCAUUUAUUGAGCGCUUACUCUGUGCCAGGCACUGUGUUAAGCGCUUUGCAGGCAACAACCCUCGGAGGUUUUCCCUGUCCCUGCACUGCUCGUUUGGUCACCUUUUGAGAGAAAAGAACACUGAUCCCAUUAAAAGGCCCUGUUGUUUGCCAGAUGAGGUCACCAGACUGGUAAGUAGCAAGGCUGGGACUCCACUAGGAAUAUCUGACUUUAAAAGCCAUGUUCCUGUCACCCAGAAUGCACAUGCUGAUGCAGCUGAACAGAAGAGAAGGAUUCCCCUCUUACCCAACACAAGAGAGACCUGAAUAUCCCAGGCUGCCUCUUGCAAAAUUCUUGGACCUCUUCGACCUUCCUCGCUGCUGCUUCCCUCAUUCUUUCAGUGCGUUCAUUCUACAAACAUGCCUCAAGGGCGCAUGAUGUGUAGAUCCUAGUGGCAGAGCAGAGAACCUAACAUGAGCUCAGAAGCUCACUUUCUCCCAUUCCCUCCUGGUUUCUAACCUCAUGGCUUCAACUUCCACACCUGGAGAGGUCCUAUGAUGGUAAAUGACUUGCUUCUCCAGGUAAGGACUGCUGCUCAGACAUACCUGACAUUCCACCAGCUCCUUCGGCAGCUCUCUGAGAUCAUACCCUGGGACCCUGACACCACAGCGAUGACACCGAUUUGGUAGAAGGUUUGGGUCCUGAGAUACCUUCAGAAGCAGGGCUCAGAAAUGCUCCAGCUCCAGCAUUUGCCCUUGCUCCUCCCCAUCCCUUUCCAGUUGUCACUCCUUCAGUUUAUAAGAUCGCUGUUGUCCAAAAUAGCACAGGCUAUAUUUAUGAAGCAUCUAUUAUGAUGAAAAAUCCCGUAGUGCCAUAAUACCCUACUGUCCAAAGGAAAAUGUUGGCUUAAACAAACAACAGUGACUAUCUGGCAAAGUGAUGUGUGGGAUAAUGCUUAUGAGUCUUUUGGGUCAUUUUUUUUUUUUUUAUUGAAUCUUGGGACUGAGUGAUUCAUAAUAACGAGAGGAAGGAAGAACACCAGGCCUGUUUUAGCUUUCAAGAUUAUUCAAAUGGAAUAGAUUUUCACCAUCAACACCGUAGCAAAGACAGAAUGCUUAAGGUAAAUUGCCAGUUUUUGUCUUUUUGGAAAAUCCAUUAAUACUGAAUGAUCUUGGUUUUAAUCCAUUCCAAAAAAAAAAAAAAAAAA
ensembl:lncRNA